UGGUUCAGUCGGUAGGGCACUCGACUCGCAUGCGCGAGGUCACCGGUUCGAAUCCCA
rnacentral:tRNA from 1 species